AUGCCCCCCUCCCGCCUGCAGUCCGCAAGGGCUGGCCUCCAAGCACCGAGAUGGACAGACAGCUCCACAGCCCGCAGGGCGGCAAGGGUCGGUGCUCAGCCUCCCUCCUGCUCGGGGGUGAGCGAUCUCGCCGCCAGCAGUGACCUUAGGGCUCGCUCUUGGCGAGGCUGUCAGCUCUUCGUACCCUGCAGGUCCGGGUCACGGUGUCGUCUCUGCCGGCUGUGGCCCAGCUCCCCAGGUAGGGGUCUCUCUGUGGCCUCAGCGGGCCUGGGGGCCAGAUCGAAGGCUCUCAGGCCAUGUCCACCUGCGUUUCUAGAGCCUGGCCUGUGGGCUUCACCACUCCCACCCCCGCAUCGUCCACCGGUUCUCACGAGCCGCCCCGACUGGCUCCCUGCAGGCACCCCGGCUGACCCGGGAGGUGAGGGCUGCCCUGCACGGGGCCCUUCCGUGACUCUGAACAAGGCCAGCUGCCUGUGGUGGCCAGGGACGGUCAGGGAAGGUACCGGCUGGGGACCAGUCACACUCCUGGCCUGUGGCCUCCUCUGGCCGAUUCUCCGGAAGCUUCUCUCAAUGGCCAUCUUGGUGGCUAGGUGCCAGGACAGGGAGCUGCCACUCAGGGGCAAGGACGAGGGGACACUUGCUUGGGAGGCUGUGCCUACUGGUGGAGGCCGUGGGCCGUCCUCAGGAGGCGCUGUGAUGCUGUGUCCUCCGUCUCGGGCUGAGUCAGACACGUGGCCGGAGGCGGGCUGCCAAGCCCCGCUGGUUACCCAGACAAAAGAGCCGCAGGCCUCACAGGGUCCCCCUGGGGGGCUCCCCUCCAGGCCCUGCCUUCCCCGCCAUAGGCAGCGUCUCCCUGUGGCUGCCUCUCCCCCGUGGGGUCCUCAGGGCUCCCAGUUCAGCUGUAGGAACGCCCGCCCCUGGUUCUUUGGGGACCAAUGCCCACGCCCCUCAGUGCCCUGGUGGCAGCUGUGGUUGGGGCCAGGCCCCUGGGGGUCUGGGGCUAAGUGA
rnacentral:lncRNA from 1 species